CAAUAUAUGAGACCGGCGCACGGGUGCGUAACGCGUAUGCAAUCUACCUUUUACAGGGGGAUAGCCCAGAGAAAUUUGGAUUAAUACCCCAUGGUAUAUUUUAGUGGCAUCACUAGAUUAUUAAAGUUCCAACGGUAAAAGAUGAGCAUGCGUCCCAUUAGCUAGAUGGUAAGGUAACGGCUUACCAUGGCUACGAUGGGUAGGGGUCCUGAGAGGGAGAUCCCCCACACUGGUACUGAGACACGGACCAGACUCCUACGGGAGGCAGCAGUGAGGAAUAUUGGACAAUGGGCGCAAGCCUGAUCCAGCCAUGCCGCGUGCAGGAAGAAGCAUCUAUGGUGUGUAAACUGCUUUUGUACGGGAAGAAACACUCCCUCGUGAGGGAGCUUGACGGUACCGUAAGAAUAAGGAUCGGCUAACUCCGUGCCAGCAGCCGCGGUAAUACGGAGGAUCCAAGCGUUAUCCGGAAUCAUUGGGUUUAAAGGGUCCGUAGGCGGUUUGGUAAGUCAGUGGUGAAAGCCCAUCGCUUAACGAUGGAACGGCCAUUGAUACUGCCAGACUUGAAUUACUGGGAAGUAACUAGAAUAUGUAGUGUAGCGGUGAAAUGCUUAGAUAUUACAUGGAAUACCAAUUGCGAAGGCAGGUUACUACCGGUGGAUUGACGCUGAUGGA
rnacentral:rRNA from 1 species